rnacentral:tRNA from 1 species
GGGGUUGUGGCUAAGAGGUAGAGCACUUGCCUAGUAUGCAUGAAGCUCUGGGUUCGAUCCUCAGCACCA